rnacentral:rRNA from 1 species
CUUUGAUUCUGGCUCAGGACGAACGCUAGCUACAGGCUUAACACAUGCAAGUCGAGGGGAAACGACAUCGAAAGCUUGCUUUUGAUGGGCGUCGACCGGCGCACGGGUGAGUAACGCGUAUCCAACCUGCCCACCACUUGGGGAUAACCUUGCGAAAGUAAGACUAAUACCCAAUGGUAUCCCACGAAGGCAUCCGAAUGGGAUUAAAGAUUUAUCGGUGAUGGAUGGGGAUGCGUCUGAUUAGCUUGUUGGCGGGGUAACGGCCCACCAAGGCUACGAUCAGUAGGGGUUCUGAGAGGAAGGUCCCCCACAUUGGAACUGAGACACGGUCCAAACUCCUACGGGAGGCAGCAGUGAGGAAUAUUGGUCAAUGGGCGAGAGCCUGAACCAGCCAAGUAGCGUGCAGGAUGACGGCCCUAUGGGUUGUAAACUGCUUUUAUAAGGGAAUAAAGUGAGUCUCGUGAGACUUUUUGCAUGUACCUUAUGAAUAAGGACCGGCUAAUUCCGUGCCAGCAGCCGCGGUAAUACGGAAGGUCCGGGCGUUAUCCGGAUUUAUUGGGUUUAAGGGGAGCGUAGGCCGGAGAUUAAGCGUGUCGUGAAAUGUAGUGGCUCAACCUCUGCACUGCAGCGCGAACUGGUCUUCUUGAGUACGCACAACGUGGGCGGAAUUCGUGGUGUAGCGGUGAAAUGCUUAGAUAUCACGAAGAACUCCGAUUGCGAAGGCAGCUCACGGGAGCGCAACUGACGCUGAAGCUCGAAAGUGCGGGUAUCGAACAGGAUUAGAUACCCUGGUAGUCCGCACGGCAAACGAUGGAUGCCCGCUGUUGGCCUGAAUAGGUCAGCGGCCAAGCGAAAGCAUUAAGCAUCCCACCUGGGGAGUACGCCGGCAACGGUGCAACUCAAAGGAAUUGACGGA